AAAAUUAGCCAGUCUUUUGGGUAUGAAACCCAUUUGGGCGAGAGUAGUACUAGGAUGGGUGACCUCCUGGGAAGUCCUCGUGAAAGGGUUUC
rnacentral:rRNA from 1 species